ensembl:lncRNA
CUUUUGUCCAUUUAAAAUUUGAUUAUUAGUCUUAUUAAGUUAUGAGUUGUUUAUAUAUUCUGAAUACAAGUUUUUUUAGCAGAUAUACAAUUUGCAACUCUUUUUUGCCCGAGAUGGUUUUUUUUUUUCCUUAAUAUGGUUAUUUUUAAAAAAGAUACAAACUUCAAAGUGAAGUUUCCUUGUGGUACAUUAACAGGCCAAUCAUGAUUCACUUUGUUUCAAAAUAUUAUGUAAGUACUUUUAAAAAGCAACUUUAAACUUUUAUUUUAGACUACUUGGAAAAUGUAGAUAAGCACAAAAUAGGAUAGUAAAAUUCCAGAGACAAUCUUCGGUAACAUUAUUCGCUUCCAGCCUUUUGGUUCUUUCUGUGAACAUACCUUUAUUUAAAAAAGAAAAAGUAUAAACAUGAGCUUCAUCAUUCCAACUCUUGGCUGGCAGGCAAGACUUUACAAAAACCUCUGAAUGAUUCAAGUAGAAAAUUUAUUAUGUCUAUGAGUGGCAGAAGACCAGCCUUGCAUCUUUUCUUAGAUUAAGGGACAGCCAGGUACUGGAAUUAGUGCCAAGGAAGAUUGGUGCCCAAGAGGUCAGAAGUGGAAGGGCCCCUCUCAGCACCACGCGGGAGACACUGCCCCAGUUACCCGCGUUGCGGGGGGCCGCGGCUGUUCAGUACCCCCAAGGCCUGGCUGCCUCUUCCGGCUGUGCUGGUCGGGGGCCUCCCCUCUCGCCGCCCACCCUGGGUCCAGAACCUCCUGCAUCCCCGGAGCCGGCCGCAGAGCUCAGCACGGCCGGGCCGAGGGGCCGCUGACGGUCCUCCAGCUCCGAGUCCUCUGCUGCAGCUCGCGGGUGAGAAGCAGCCAGGGGCUCGAUAAGAGGAUCUCGUCGGCGCGCAGGAGAUGUGGGACAUGUGGAUUUGGGAUGUGAAUUCAUUUGAAAAGCCACUUUGGGGUAAGUUGAUCACUGGGCGUAAAUGACUUCAGGGUUGGACUUCUCUUUACAUUGGGAUUUGCUCUUACAGUGGCGCAGGUUCAGAUUUACCCUGACUGGACUUGAUGCCUCAUAUAUAUGCCAGAAAGUGAGUGGCUUGUACUAAAAUCCUAGCACAGUAAUUUGAGAAACAUAACCAUCAAGCAUAGCCACAUGUGGUACUAAUUAAUUAGCACAUUCACUUCUCAUUCACGAAAGCAAUGUGAAGACUAAAUGAAGACCACAUUUAGAAAUAGAAAGAUACUUAUUAUACAGGGUUUAACCUGCUUGUGUUCACCCAGUAGUCCUGAUGUGUGGACUGGAGAGCACUCAUGGCGCCAGUGUUAGGAGGAUGAAGGGUUCAAGUUUGUCUCUGAGCUUCUCUUUGCAGGACUCCAAAUGCAUCAGUACAAAUGUAAAAUGUUCCUGAUUUUUUUUGUUUCAUCUAAGAAAGAGCCUUUAGAAUUACUAUUUAAUAUUUACUGAGUGUUUACUGUGAGUAUGUUGUGCAUUACUGCAUUUAAUUCAGGGACUGUGACCUGGGUAUGUUUUUCUCAUUCAAGGAAUAAAGAGGCCCAGGUUUAUGCA